rnacentral:rRNA from 1 species
CAGUCGCCACGGUAAUACGGAGGGUGCAAGCGUUAAUCGGAAUUACUGGGCGUAAAGCGUGCGUAGGCGGUUCGUUAAGUCUGUUGUGAAAGCCCCGGGCUCAACCUGGGAAUGGCAAUGGAUACUGGCGAGCUAGAGUGUGUCAGAGGAUGGUGGAAUUCCCGGUGUAGCGGUGAAAUGCGUAGAGAUCGGGAGGAACAUCAGUGGCGAAGGCGGCCAUCUGGGACAACACUGACGCUGAGGCACGAAAGCGUGGGGAGCAAACAGGAUUAGAGACCCCCGUAGUCCCUGUCUCUUAUAC